ensembl:lncRNA
CCGCACUUGCCUUCGGGUUUAUGGAGCAUCGGGAAGUGCCAGCGCUCCUGUUCUCUCUCCUCUGCUGUCUGUCCCCUCUGGACAUCACUCAGGCCCUGGGUCAGAUGUGAAUGGCCAGAGUGCGCCCCGUCUCCCUCUCACAUGUGUGUGUCUGUGCAUGUUUGCAUGCUCAUGUGUGCGUGCGCGCGCAUUCUUGUGUGCAUCUGUUUAUGUGCGCACGGGUGCUCAGGUGCGCGCUUCUGCGAUCUGUCCUCUCGGGGGCCGGGCAUCUCCGUCCUAGUGCACUUUGACCUCUAAGCCGUACUCUAGUUUGCUCUUCAUCCGCGUCAGGGUUCAUCUGAGACCUGUGACUCCUCUGCUGAAGGCUCACUGCGAAGAUCAGGAAAAAGGACUAGGAGUUCAGAGAGCAGCCUCUGCACCGCUGCCGGCAGAAAGGGGCACAGAGCUCAGGGCUCCUGGGAGCUCGGGCUAUGCCGUAGUUUCUGUGUCCGCAUGGCCUCUGGUCAUAACCACACGCCUUUGGAACGUCCUCCCAGAAACCACAGAUUCACUUGGAUUCAGCUGUGGAUCUGGCUCCAAACAGGCACUAUGGGGGAACCACAAGGCAGUGAGCUUCUCUAGCUUCAUCCUUCCUUGGCUGAAGGUUGGGGAUGAAACCACUGAAGGUCUCCAUAGAAAACGUGGAAAAUUCUGGCCCCUAGCUGGGGUCUUCUAUCCCCGUCGGAGCCAACAAAUUUGUUGGAUAACAAAUUGGCAUCCAUCUCCAACGUGGGCUGGACAUUUCUCACCUAGUUUUGUGGCAUCACCUGUCCUACGGCUGCUUCCCGUGGGCAGAGCCUGUUGUAGGUGCGGCCAGCAGCACUUGAGCCUGUGUGGGAGUCACGGGCCCCAACCAUGCUGGCAUCUCUGCUUCUCACGCCCCUCCCUAAAUGGAGAAAAUAGAAUACCUGUCUCUUAGUAUUCGGAGAUUACAGUAGACCCCAUCUGUGAAGUGUGGUGCCUGGACACGGUGAACCAGCAACAUAAGCGCUGGAGCCACAGCCAUGACCACAAGCUGGAAAGAAGCAUUGCGUGGGUGGAGCAGGAAGUGUCUAGGUUGCACAUGGGGGUCACUGGUAGACAAUGAGCUGGCUGCUGUGGUCCAGGCUGGCCUGGAAGCGGGGAGCAUUAGCAGUCAAAAAUUUUGAAAAAAAGAAGAACACGAAAUGAUUCUAUAAGCUGGAAAGCAGGUGGAUGGGUAUGAACGGAGGAGAAAGGACAGAAGAGUCCAGCCCGGGACAUCGCCAGAGGGAGGCUCAGGCUGCUGGUACCUCCCUCAACCAGAGGGGCACAGGCUGCGAGCUGGCAGGUCAGGAGGUGGGGGAGGGGAAGGCUGAAAAGUGCAGGACUCAUUGGAAAUCUGCUUAUGAAGUAGCUCAGUCUGGCCAUUCCCCACCCCAAGGCACAGAACAACGACAACCUCAGGCCACAAAAUGGGCUUUUAUUUAGAGACAUUGAACAAGCUUUCUGAUGUGCAAGAAUUAACUCUAAAGCUAUGCUUCUCAAAAUACGUUCCCUACUAGCAGCAUCAACAUCACCUGGGAACUUGUUAGAAAUGCAGGUUCCAAGGUCCACCCCAUACCUGCUGAAUCAGAAGCUCUCAGCCUUGCGGCCCACUGGUUGUAUUUUAACCAGCCUCCUCCCACCCCACCCCCUCUAGGAGAUGAAGGCCACACACUGUAGGCUGAGGAUCCCUGAUCUAGAACAGAGCUCUUCAUUCUUGGCUGCAUAUUGGAAUCACUUUAGAAAAUGCUGAUGCCUGGGGCCCCACCCCCUAAAAAGAUUCUGACUUCAUGGGUUUUGCACAUUGCCCAGGCAUCAGGAUUUUUAAGACAUCCACCAGCCAGGACAGAGAACCACUCCAUUAAGGCCUUCCUGUUUCACACGCAUCAGCCGUCAGCCCAAUUGCUUAGGCCUGAAGCUUCUCAGCCAGAAGCCCUGUCCACUUAGAUCUCACUGUCACCCUCCUCAGCUAAAGGAGAGGACUAGUGGAGUCCAGACUGACCGCAGCCACAGGGGAAUCACGUACCAAGCACCCAGGACCACUGGUCUGGAGCUCUGCUCUCAAACAUGAAAGGAGGUAUAAUGGUCCCAGGCACAUAAGAGAGACCCGCCAUGUGAAUGAGAAAUAGGAAGAUAAGCAAGCCAGCCAGCCCUAUAGGAAAAGAAACAACGCAGGGAUCACAAGAUAAUUCCUAAAAAUUCUCAUAUCCUCAAAGGGAUAUGAGAAGUUAUUAAGUCUGUGAAACAAAAACCAAUGCUAUGAAAAGGAAAUAAUUACAUAAUCAAGAAGAAAUUUUAAAAAUUAAAAAUGCAAUCUUUUAAACAAAACUUUCAAUAAAAGAAAAACUGGGAUGCUUCCCAGAAAAUAGGAUAGAAAUGAGAAAAAAAACUGAAAACAUGAGAGAGAUGGGGAAAAAAGACAAAUAGCAAUUCAAACCAGGAUCUCCAACGUCUGCCUAUUACAGUCCCAGAACAAGCAGAGAACAGGGAGGGGAAAGAAGCAAUCUCAGAUGGACUGAAGGGUAUCUUCUCUGAGGUAGGAGCUGUAAGUUGUCAGACCGAGGACACCUAUAAGGGUCACUCGGGGUGGAUAAUGAAAUGUCCACACCCAGACACAGCCUCAUGAAUCUGAGAACAUGAAGGAUGAAAGGCAGGUGCUGCAAGCAUUCAGGGAGAAAAUAAACAAAUACAAGCGGACUGCCUGUAAAGAAAUAAAGCCCAGACCUCCUCAGGGAGGUUGCGUUCUAGAAGACAAAGGCCUUCCAAGGCUUAAGAGGAAAUAUCUUGAAUGUAGAAUUCUGUACCUGCUGAAACAAUUCUCAAAAGGAUUUGGACUAACAAAAGCAGUUUGAAAACUUGUAGAAAUUCUACAAGCUUUUCUUGUGGAGUUUCCUGAGGAAGUACUCCAGCAAAACAAGGAGGAAAAUCAAGAAGGAAGGAUCCAAGAAACAGGCUCUUGGUGAAGGGAAGUCCUCAGAGGACAUGGAUGCAGCAACCUGGGGGACCCCUGGUCAGGAGGGUCUGCAGGCCAGAAAUCCCAGUUGUAUUGGAUCAGGACCCACCGUCAUUCAGCAUGACCUCACUUGAACUUGAUCAUGUCUGCAAAGACCUUGUUUCCCAAUAAAGGACACAUUUACAGUGAUUUUUUUUCUAAGGGGAGGUUUACUUAUCCCUCACUGAUGGUGUUGAAGAAAAAUGGGGCAGGAGAGGAUGACUGUGUACUGCUCUCUGGCUCUGCCAGCUUUAGGUCAAGUCGCCCACUGCCUUUUAGCGGCCGUACCCUACCCCUUCCAUAUUGUUUCACUGGAAGUUGAGGAGCAGUUAGGAGACACACUGUGUAGAGCCAGCGGCCACCUGGGGCCCAUGUGAAGGCGGACGGCACCCAGGCGUGGGGCUGCCAGAGACACCCUCAGGACCUAGCUGAGGAGGAGCCAGGACCGCCCGCCUCUGGAGCCCCCGCGAACCCGUGAGACUAGGGAAAUGAUGUUAAAUGAAAAGCGAAUUUGAGUGAGUUUCCUAUUCGAGUUCAGAAUGGGUCAUAAAGCAGUAGAGCAACUUGCAACAUCAACAGCGCAUUUGGCCCAGGAACUGCUAAUGAAUGUUACAGUGCAGUGGUGGUUCAAGAAGUUUUGCAAAGGAGAUGAGACCCUUGAAGAUGAGAAGCACAGUGGCUGGCCAUCGAAAGUUGACAAUGACUAAUUGAGAGUUAUCAUCAAAGCUAAUCCUCUUAUAACUACAUGAGAAGUUGCCAAAGAACUCAACAUUGACUAUUCUACAGUAAUUUGGCAUUUGAAGUAAAGUGGGUGCCCCGCGAGCUGACUGCAAAUCAGAAAAAUUGUUUUGAAGUGUGGUCUUCUCUCAUUCUAUUCAACAGCAAACAAACCAUUUCUCUUUGGAUUGUGACAUGCAACAAAAAGUGGAUUUUAUAUGAUAACCACUGAUGACCCCUCAGUGACUGAACCUAGAAAAGCACUUCCCAAACUUGCACCAAAAAAAGGUCAUGGUCACUGUUUGUUGGUCUGCUGCCCAUCUCAUCCACUACAACUUUCUGAACCCAGGUGAAACCAUUACAUCUGAGAAGUAUGCUCAGCAAAUCGACCAGAUGCACCCAAAAUUGUCAUACCUGCAUCUGGCAUUGGUCAACAGAAUAGGCCCAGUUCUUCACCAUGACAAUGUCUGACCACACAUUGCACAAUCAACACUUAAACAUUGAACGAACUGGGCUACAAAGCUUUGCCUCAUCUGCCAUUCUCACCUGACUUCUCACUAGCGGACUAGCAUUUCUUCAAGCAUCUUGUCAACUUUUUGCAGGGAAGAUGCUUCCACAACCAGCAGGAUGCAUAAAAUGGUUUCCAAGAGUUUGUUGAAUCCUAAAGCAUAGAUUUUUAACCUUCAGGGAUAAACAAACUUAUUUCUCGUUGGCAAAAAUGUGUUGAUUGUAGUGGUUCCUAUUUUGAUUAAUAAAGAUGUGUUUGAGUAUGGAUAUAAUUAUUUAAAAUUCACGGUCCAAAACCAAAAUUACGUUUGCACCAAUCUAAUAGUAUCUUCAGAGAAAUUUGGGUGAGAUUUUGCAUCCACAAAAUCAGAACUGGUUGCUAUGAAAAGAGAAUCAGAAGCAGUGGUUUUUGUUUGUUUGGUUUCUGGCUUAGAGCAGCAGCAGCAGUCCUAGAGGCUGGAAAUCAGGUGUUGGCAGGGCUGUGUUCCUUCUGAGGGCUCUAGGGGAGAAUCAUGAGGCUUUUGGAAGCUAAGCAUUCGGACAGAGGGCUGAGAGACAAAGCUGAGGAGACCAUUUGGAUGUGAAACACAGGGACGAAGAGAUUUAAAAUAUAAGAGAAAACAUAAGGGACCUAUAGCAUUACUCCAAGAGAGCCCCACCCAGGCUAUCCAUUUUUAGACAGAAGAUGGAGAGAAAAAUAUUACCAAAAAAAAAAAAAAAGCAAACUUUUUGUUCUUUCUUUUAAAAAUUUUAUUAAAAUAUAGUAGAUUUAUAAUGACUAACAAAUUUUUAGAUUUGUUAGUCGCAAGUAUGUAGUAAUUUAGUUAUAUGUAUAAACUAUAUAGCUAUAUAUUCCUUUUUCUACAUUCUCUUCCAUUGUAGGUUAUUACAAGAUAUUGAGUGAGUAUAGUUCCCUGUGGUAUACAGUCAGUCCUUGUUAUGUAUUUCAUAUAUUUGUAGUUGUUGUUUAGUUGCUAAUUCAUGUCUGACUCUUUUGCGACCCCAUGGACUGUAGCCUGCCAGGCACCUUUGUCCGUGGGAUUUCCCAGGCAAGAAUACUGGAGUGGGUGGCCAUUUCCUUCUCCGGGGGAUGGUCACAACCCAGUGGUUGAACUCACAUGUUCUGCAUCUGCAUUGGCAGGUGAAUUCUUUACCACUGAGCCACCCGGGAAAGCCCGCAUUUAUAUAUAGUAGUGUGUAUGUUUUAAUCCCCAGCUCCUAAUUUAUCCCUCUCCCCCAUCUCCUUUGUUUUCUAUAUCUGUGAAUCUGUUUCUGUUUUGUAAAUAAGUUAAUUUACAUCCUUUUUAAAUUGCACCUACAGCUUAUAUCAUAUGUUAAUUUGUCUUUCUCUGUUUGACUUGCUUCACUUGGUGUGAUAAUCUUGCAUGUUGCUGCAAGUGGCAUAAUUUCGUUCUUUUUUAUGGCUGAGUAAUAUUCUGUUGUAUCUAUGUACCACAUCUUCUUUAUCCACUUAUCUGUUGAUGGACAUUAAAAUGGUUUCCAUGUUUUAAGUACUGUAAACAGAGCUGCAGUGAACUUUGGGGUGUAUGUACCUUUUCAAAUUAUGGUAUUCUCCAGAUAUAUAUGCCCAGGAGGGAGAUUGAAAGAUCAUAUAGUAGCUCUAUUUUUAGUUUUUUAAGGAACCUCCAUACUGUUCUCCAUACUGACUUUACCAAUUUAUAUUCCCACUGACAGUCUAGGAGGGUUCUCUUUUCUCCACACUGUACCUACCAUUUACUAUUUGUAGACUUUUUUGUGAUGGCCAUUCUGAUCAGUGUGUGUGAGAUAAUACCUUAUUGUAGUUUUGGUUUCCAUUUUCUAAUAAGUAAAAAAUUGAACAUCUUUUCAUGUGCUUUUUGGCCAUCUGUAUGUCUUCUUUGGAAAAAUGUCUUUUUAGAGCCUCUGCCUAUUUCUUUUUUUAUUGGGUUUGUUAUUUUUUUAUGUAUAUCCUGCAAAUUUACCAAAUUCAUUGAUGAGCUCUAGUAGUUCUCUGGUAGUGUUUUUAGGAUUUUCUAUGCAUAGUAUCCAUGAAAUUAAAAGACACUUACUCCUUGGAAGAAAAGUUAUGACCAACCUAGAGAGCAUAUUGAAAAGCAGAGACAUUACUUUGCCAACAAAGGUCUGUCUAGUCAAGGCUAUGGUUUUUCCUGUGGUCAUGUAUGGAUGUGAGGGUUGAACUGUGAAGAAAGCUGAGCGCUGAAGAAUUGAUGCUUUUGAACUGUGGUGUUGGAGAAGACUCUUGAGAGUCCCUUGGACUGCAAGGAGAUCCAAGCAGUCCAUUCUGAAGGAGAUCAGCCCUGGGAUUUCUUUGGAAGGAAUGAUGCUAAAGCUGAGACUCCAGUACUUUGGCCACCUCAUGCGAAGAGUUGACUCACUGGAAAAGACUCUGAUGCUGGGAGGGAUUGGGGGCAAGAGGAGAAGGGGACGACAGAGGAUGAGAUGGCUGGAUGGCAUCACCGACUCGAUGGACGUGAGUCUGAGUGAACUCCGGGAGUUGGUGAUGGACAGGGAGGCCUGGUGUGCUGCGAUUCAUGGGGUCGCAGAGUUGGACACGACUGAGCGACUGAACUGAACUGAACUGAACUGAUGCAUAGUAUCAUGUCAUCUGCAGACAGUGACAGUUUUAUUUAUUCUUUUUGAAUUUG